rnacentral:rRNA from 1 species
UACGUAGGGUGCGAGCGUUGUCCGGAAUUAUUGGGCGUAAAGAGCUCGUAGGCGGUGUGUCGCGUCGGCCGUGAAAACCUGGGGCUCAACUCUGGGCGUGCGGUCGAUACGGGCAUCACUUGAGUUCGGCAGGGGAGACUGGAAUUCCUGGUGUAGCGGUGAAAUGCGCAGAUAUCAGGAGGAACACCGGUGGCGAAGGCAGCACUCUGGGACGUGACUGACGCUGAGACGCGAAAGCGUGGGGAGCAAACAGG